GACAAGAUGCUGCUGGAAGUGGUGUUGGAGUGGUGUUGGAGUGAUUGAGGACACUGCCCUGUGUACGAUGCCGUCUUUCAGGUGGUACGUUAAAGGGGUGUCCUGACUCUCUGAGGUCAUUAAAGAUCCUAUGGCACUUAUCGUAUGAGUAGGGGUGUUAACCCUGGUGUCCUGGCUAAAUUCCCAAUCUGGCCCUCAAACCAUCACGGUCACCUAAUAAUCCCCAGGUUACAAUUGGCUUCUUCAUCCGCCUAGUUAAAUAAAGGUUAAAUAUAUAUAUAUUUUUUUUAAAGUUUAGGAUUGCAACAUCAUUCCCUUAAAAAUGUUUAACUAUCUAGUGGUCCUUAGAUUUGAGCUCCAGCACACUUCAAUUAAUAAGAUACACCUAGUUGCUCUUCUCCUGGACUGUCACCUUGACACGGUGGAGAGGUUUGCAUACUCCAAUGACCCCGAUUAAUAAGCCGGAGGGGGUUUAUACUCCCGGGAGGUGCAACCAAGCCGGUCAGGUCGAAGGGUAGGAGCCAGACAAAUCAGUCCAAGGUCCUCCGUGUUGGGGGAUGGGCGUGGGGCAAACUACCCCACCCCGGAAAAAAAGAAAACAUUAAUAAAUGGAAACCAAAUAUGUUGCCCCAAAGCAGGACAUUUCAUUGGACACAUGUUACUAAUGAAGGGAGAAGCUGACAGUGAAGGACAUUUACUUUUACAGCUUAACUGAUGAUGCUAUGAUGAUAUUAUGUUAUGCAAUGUUAAUGAUUUUAUUGUUGUGGUUUUAUCUUACACAUGACUGUAAUUGCAGUCUUUAUGUUGAUUGGUUGAGCACACUGUAUUAAUGUAUUAGAAUAGCUGACUGUAGAUGUUUUUCCAGCAGUACAGACAGACAUUAUCACACUACUGGCAGUGGGCUGGAAUAAGAGGAAGAUCACCAACAUGGAUCGCAUCUCAGCAAAGAAAAUGUCCAAAGACUGAAGGAGGAGACCAGCUUCCUUGAAGAUAAGUGGUCAGAGCUGGACACCGAUGACCCAGUGCUUCAGGAGUGGGUUGCUGAGGUCCAGCAGUGGCCUGAAGGGUGAGGUUUUCUUCACUACGCACAAUCAACAGUGAGACAUUCACAUCUAAACCAGGAGUCCAACCACA